GAUGAACGCUGACAGAAUGCUUAACACAUGCAAGUCCACUUGAACUUCGGUUUGGGUGGCGGACGGGUGAGUAACGCGUAAAGAACUUGCCUCACAGAUAGGGACAACAUUUGGAAACGAAUGCUAAUACCUGAUAUUAUGAUUAUAUGGCAUCGUAUAAUUAUGAAAGCUAUAUGCGCUGUGAGAGAGCUUUGCGUCCCAUUAGCUAGUUGGAGAGGUAACGGCUCACCAAGGCGAUGAUGGGUAGCCGGCCUGAGAGGGUGAUCGGCCACAAGGGGACUGAGACACGGCCCUUACUCCUACGGGAGGCAGCAGUGGGGAAUAUUGGACAAUGGACCAAGAGUCUGAUACAGCAAUUCUGUGUGCACGAUGAAGUUUUUCGGAAUGUAAAGUGCUUUCAGUUGGGAAGAAAAAAAUGACGGUACCAACAGAAGAAGUGACGGCUAAAUACGUG
rnacentral:rRNA from 1 species